rnacentral:tRNA from 1 species
UGCGGAAGUGGCGGAAUGGCAGACGCAGCAGACUCAAAAUCUGCCGGUGGUGACAUCGUGUGGGUUCAAGUCCCAUCUUCCGCAU